rnacentral:rRNA from 1 species
CGGAGGAUCCAAGCGUUAUCCGGAAUCAUUGGGUUUAAAGGGUCCGUAGGCGGUUUGGUAAGUCAGUGGUGAAAGCCCAUCGCUCAACGGUGGAACGGCCAUUGAUACUGCCAGACUUGAAUUACUGGGAAGUAACUAGAAUAUGUAGUGUAGCGGUGAAAUGCUUAGAGAUUACAUGGAAUACCAAUUGCGAAGGCAGGUUACUACCGGUGGAUUGACGCUGAUGGACGAAAGCGUGGGUAGCGAACAGGAUUAGAUACCCUGGUAGUCCACGCCGUAAACGAUGGAUACUAGCCGUUGGUGGCAACAUCAGUGGCUAAGCGAAAGUGAUAAGUAUCCCACCUGGGGAGUACGUUCGCAAGAAUG